UACGCAUAGGUCCUUAUGUUUGUGCUGAGUGCAACUUUGGGGGGUUCCCAGUGUGGCUGCGUGAUGUUCCUGGCAUAGAGUUUCG